UUGUAAUCACUGAAUUCAGGCCAGCUGACAGUCUUGCCUGGGCCCGGGACGAGAUAAUCUUAGAUGGGCCCCCCCGCGCCCAGAUCUCUCCUUUUCCCUUGCUCUUCCUCUCCUCUGCUCUUCCUCCCCUGUUUCUCUCCUCUCCUCUGCUCUUCC